rnacentral:rRNA from 1 species
GGUGGCAUGCCUAAUACAUGCAAGUCGAACGAGAAAGUCACUUCGGUGGCGAGUACAGUGGCGCACGGGUGAGUAACGCGUAGGUGACAUGCCUGUUAGUGGGGGACAACAUCGGGAAACCGGUGCUAAUACCGCAUAAGUUAAACGACAUUGAAAAAGUUUAAGAAAGGGGCUUCGGUCUCGCUGACAGAUUGGCCUGCGUAUCAUUAGCUUGUUGGUGGGGUAAUGGCCUACCAAGGCGACGAUGAUUAACUGGUCUGAGAGGAUGAUCAGUCACACUGGAACUGAGACACGGUCCAGACUCCUACGGGAGGCAGCAGUAGGGAAUAUUGCACAAUGGGGGAAACCCUGAUGCAGCAAUGCCACGUGAGUGAGGAAGGCCUUCGGGUUGUAAAGCUCUGUCCUAUAGGAAGAACGGCACUAGGUAACGCUAGUGUUUGACGGUACUAUAGAAGAAAGCACCGGCUAACUCCGUGCCAGCAGCCGCGGUAAUACGAAGGGUGCAAGCGUUGUUCGGAUUUACUGGGCGUAAAGCGCGCGCAGGCGGACUAGCAAGUCAGAUGUGAAAUCUCGGGGCUUAACCCCGAAACUGCGUCUGAAACUGUUAGUCUAGAAUCUCACAGGGGGUAGGGGAAUUUCACGU